AGGAGUUGGUUAGAAGUAAGAGUCUUAAGUAGGAGUCCUAUUAGGAGUUAGGGUUUAGAAGCCCUAUAAAUAGCCAUGUAUUCCUUCUCUUUUGAUAAGCAAUAGAUGAAUCUUUUCUGCAGCCUUUGAGCAGCAACUUGGAGGGAGGAACCCCUAUAGAGUUCCAAGGAGGUCGAUCCCCUAAAGAGAUCAACCCCAAGUUUAGAAUCUGCAAGGGUUCUAACACC
rnacentral:lncRNA from 1 species